UCGUAAACUUAAAUAGUCCUUAAAACAAGACUAUUCGCCAGAGUACUACCGGCAACAGCCCGAAACUCAAAGGACUUGGCGGUGCUUCAUAUCCCUCUAGAGGAGCCUGUUCUGUAAACGAUAAACCCCGAUCAACCUCACCAAUCCUUGCUACCUCAGUCUAUAUACCGCCAUCUUCAGCAAACCCUAAAAAGGAACGAAAGUAAGCACAACUAUCGCACAUAAAAACGUUAGGUCAAGGUGUAACCUAUGGGUUGGGAAGAAAUGGGCUACAUUUUCUAUAACAAGAACAUCCCUCAAGUCUACACGAAAGUUUUUAUGAAAACUAAAAACCAAAGGAGGAUUUAGCAGUAAAUUAAGAAUAGAGUGCUUAAUUGAAUAAGGCC
rnacentral:rRNA from 1 species